GAAAGAGAGAGGGGGAUAGAGAGAGAGAUGGGGACUGUAAUUAUGAAUAUGCGAGAGAGUAAGAAGGAAGGAAUUAAGUGUGAUGACCGGGAGAGAGAGAAAAUGGAGAGAAAGGAGGAUGGAUAAGUAGACAUAAUAAAUGUUUGAGGAAAGAAGGUGAUAUACGGCAGGGACUGAGAGAGAUGGAGGGAGGUGGAGAGAGAGGAAGGAAGGUGAUAUACGGCAGGGACUGAGAGAGAUGGAGGGAGGGAGGUGGAGAGAGAGGAAGGAAGGUGAUAUACGGCAGGGACUGAGAGAGAUGGAGGGAGGGAGGUGGAGAGAGAGGAAGGAAGGUGAUAUACGGCAGGGACUGAGAGAGAUGGAGGGAGGGAGGUGGAGAGAGAGGAAGGAAGGUGAUAUACGGCAGGGACUGAGAGAGAUGGAGGAAGGGAGGUGGAGAGAGAGGAAGGAAGGUGAUAUACGGCAGGGACUGAGAGAGAUGGAGGGAGGGAGGUGGAGAGAGAGGAAGGAAGGUGAUAUACGGCAGGGACUGAGAGAGAUGGAGGAAGGGAGGUGGAGAGAGAGGAAGGAAGGUGAUAUACGGCAGGGACUGAGAGAGAUGGAGGGAGGGAGGUGGAGAGAGAGGAAGGAAGGUGAUAUACGGCAGGGACUGAGAGAGAUGGAGGGAGGGAGGUGGAGAGAGAGGAAGGAAGGUGAUAUACGGCAGGGACUGAGAGAGAUGGAGGGAGGGAGGUGGAGAGAGAGGAAGGAAGGUGAUAUACGGCAGGGACUGAGAGAGAUGGAGGGAGGGAGGUGGAGAGAGAGGAAAGAAGGUGAUAUACGGAAGGGACUGAGAGAGAUGGAGGGAGGUGGAGAGAGAGGAAGGAAGGUGAUAUACGGCAGGGACUGAGAGAGAUGGAGGGAGGGAGGUGGAGAGAGAGGAAGGAAGGUGAUAUACGGCAGGGACUGAGAGAGAUGGAGGAAGGGAGGUGGAGAGAGAGGAAGGAAGGUGAUAUACAGCAGGGACUGAGAGAUGGAGGAAGGGAGGUGGAGAGAGAGAGCAAGGGAUUGGUGUAUAGCAUAAUUACUUUAAUGAAUCCCAACAGGACCCUUUAGAUACAUCUCUUGGGAUAAGAGACAAAGAGAUGGGGGAGGGGAGAGAGAGUGAAAUAAAGAGAGACCAUGAUAGACUGCUACAAAGGGAAAGCGAGCGAAAAGCUAAAAUACAGAGAUCAAAUAACACAAACACAAAGCAUUUGGAUUAUUCUGGAAUAAUAUGUGUAUCUGAUGAUGACAUGGAAAGAGCAGAGACCUGCUAAACAGCAGAGAUCUUCUAGAAUCCUAGUACAGUACAGCUCUGGGGUGCCUGGUGACUAACAAACAAGCCUUCUUCUCUACUGUCAGUCCAUUUCAUCAACUCUCUUCAAAUAUUCAUAGCAUUUCUACCUCAUCUUUCUCCCUUUCGCCCGUGAACCACUAAAUAUGGUUGUUGUUCUCCAGCUAUCUUUUUCCUGCACCAACACACACACACACACACACACACACACACACACACACACACACACACACACACACACACACACACACACACACACACACACACACACACACACACACACACACACACACACACACACACACACUAGUGCCAACCCUGUCGCAGCCAGCCAAACACGCGUGUCUUGCCUGAGGCCUCUAGCCAGCACUGGAGGUUAGAUAGGGGUUACAUUUAAAUUGAAAUUGAACGGAGGAUUAGAUUACCAGUUCUGGGAGACAGACUGGGGUUAGGAUUAAAGGACCCCUAUAACCACACGCAGAGCACCGAGUCA